rnacentral:rRNA from 1 species
AUGCAAGCCAUCCACUCCUUCAACAAUUUGCAUUCGGCAAACCUACACUGGCUCAACGCUGCGAACAUCGUGCUUCUCCCCAAAAAAGAUGGGGCGGAGGAGAUAGCUGACUACAGACCUAUAAGCCUCAUCCAUGCCAUCCCCAAGAUCAUCGCGAAGGUCCUUGCCCUACGGCUUGGCCCUCACAUGCACGUCCUCAUCUCCAGCGCGCACAGUGCCUUCAUCAAGAGGAGAUGCAUCCAUGACAACUUUAUGUAUGUGAGGGGCCUUGCCCGCUGCCUCCAUAAAAACAGAACUCCAGCGCUGCUAUUGAAGCUCGACAUCCGCAAGGCGUUUGACUCUGUCAAGUGGGAGUACAUUAUUGACCUCCUGCAGCAGAGGGGAUUUCCACCGCGCUUUCGGGAGUGGAUCACGGCCUUGCUCCGUUCAUCUUCCUCGCGAAUCCUCCUCAACGGGGUCCCAGGACCUAUUAUCAGGCAUGGUCGCGGCUUUCGGCAGGGAGAUCCGAUCUCUACUCUGCUCUUUGUCAUUGCCAUCGACCCUUUGCAGCAAAUGCUCGACCUCGCGACCCGUCGUGGCUUACACAAGCUUCGAGGGCGUCGUGCCAUUCUCCGCACAUCCCUAUAUGCCGACGACGCGGCGGUCUUCAUGGCUCCUAUUAAGGAAGAUAUCGACAACUUCGCUCAGAUCCUAAACUACUUUGGCAAGGUCACGGGCCUC